AGAGUUUGAUCAUGGCUCAGGAUGAACGCUGGCGGCGUGCCUAACACAUGCAAGUCGAACGGAAUUUACAUGAAGCCUAGCGAUUGUAAAUUUAGUGGCGGACGGGUGAGUAACGCGUGGGUAACCUGCCUUGUACUGGGGGACAACAGUUGGAAACGACUGCUAAUACCGCAUAAGCGCACAGCUUCGCAUGAAGCAGUGUGAAAAACUCCCGUGGUACAAGAUGGACCCGCGUCUGAUUAGAUAGUUGGUGAGGUAACGGCUCACCAAGUCGACGAUCAGUAGCCGGACUGAGAGGUUGAACGGCCACAUUGGGACUGAGACACGGCCCAGACUCCUACGGGAGGCAGCAGUGGGGAAUAUUGCACAAUGGGGGAAACCCUGAUGCAGCGAUGCCGCGUGGAGGAAGAAGGUUUUCGGAUUGUAAACUCCUGUCUUAAAGGACGAUAAUGACGGUACUUUAGGAGGAAGCUCCGGCUAACUACGUGCCAGCAGCCGCGGUAAUACGUAGGGAGCGAGCGUUGUCCGGAAUUACUGGGUGUAAAGGGAGCGUAGGCGGGACGGCAAGUCAGAUGUGAAAUACAUGGGCUCAACCCAUGGGCUGCAUUUGAAACUGCUGUUCUUGAGUGAAGUAGGGGUAAGCGGAAUUCGUGGUGUAGCGGUGAAAUGCUUAGAUAUCACGAAGAACUCCGAUUGCGAAGGCAGCUCACUGGGGCGCAACUGACGCUGAAGCUCGAAAGCGCGGGUAUCGAACAGGAUUAGAUACCCUGGUAGUCCGCGCGGUAAACGAUGGAUGCCCGCUGUUGGGCCAACUGGUUCAGCGGCCAAGCGAAAGCAUUAAGCAUCCCACCUGGGGAGUACGCCGGCAACGGUGAAACUCAAAGGAAUUGACGGGGGCCCGCACAAGCGGAGGAACAUGUGGUUUAAUUCGAUGAUACGCGAGGAACCUUACCCGGGCUUGAAUUGCAGAGGAAGGACUUGGAGACAAUGACGCCCUUCGGGGCCUCUGUGAAGGUGCUGCAUGGUUGUCGUCAGCUCGUGCCGUGAGGUGUCGGCUUAAGUGCCAUAACGAGCGCAACCCCUCUCCAUAGUUGCCAUCAGGUGAAGCUGGGCACUCUGUGGACACUGCCACCGUAAGGUGCGAGGAAGGUGGGGAUGACGUCAAAUCAGCACGGCCCUUACGUCCGGGGCUACACACGUGUUACAAUGGCAGGUACAGAGAGCCGGUCGUAUGCAAAUACGAUCCAAUCCUUAAAGCCUGUCUCAGUUCGGACUGGGGUCUGCAACCCGACCCCACGAAGCUGGAUUCGCUAGUAAUCGCGCAUCAGCCAUGGCGCGGUGAAUACGUUCCCGGGCCUUGUACACACCGCCCGUCAAGCCAUGAAAGCCGGGGGCGCCUGAAGUCCGUGACCGCAAGGAUCGGCCUAGGGCGAAACUGGUAAUUGGGGCUAAGUCGUAACAAGGUA
rnacentral:rRNA from 1 species